CAGAGAGGAGGCAGUGACAUUAGAAAAUGAAGCUUCCAGGCAUGAGUUCCCUGGCUCUGGGUUGCAUGGACCCCACACAGUGGGUCUGAGCCAGGUUGGGAGAUCAGUUAGACCGUCCUAGGUCCUAGGUGGGACCGUGGUUCUGUCUUUGUACUUUGUACAAGUUAUCUCUCCACUUCCAAUUGAUUUCCUUAUCUACCCAAUAGCCUUCCCUCCACCUCCCAGCAGGCCAAGGACAACCUGGCACAGGAAGUAAUCAUAAUUAGCAGCACUUAAUAUGAUAACACAUGCUUCCCGGUUCUAGCUUCCUCACCAAGCUGCUCAAAGACUGAAGAAACACUUUGUUUUAUUUUAUUUUUAUUUUUUAUUUUUUUGCGGAACCGGGGAUUGAACUCAGGCCCUUACACUUGCCAGGGAAGCGCUUAUUCCACUGAGCCAUCUCCCUGGCCCUGAAGAAACACUCUGAUAUUUACCUGAAUCAGGUGAUAUUUACCUGAAGCAGGUGAAUGAAGUCAGGAAAAAAACCCCACAUGUCCUCUUGUCACUGUGUCACCUCCCCACACUGAGCCCCAUUUAUGCAGUGCCUUACCUUCAGCCCACUGCAAUGUCCCUGCAAAGCCAUCUGCCCUGUGUACUCCUCCCCUGCAGGUCCCACCACACCUGCACACGUGGGUAGGAACUUAGCUGGCCAGCACUGUCACCUACCCCUGGAAGCCCCCAAGCUCACAGCCAUGCCUCAGCAUCUCUGAAUAGCGGAACAUCUGGAAUGAGGCCACCCCACACCUGCCUGACUUCUGCAGCUGCUGAACUUGACAGAAAAACCUCACGGGAUGGUUCAAGGGACCCAGUGGAUGCCGCUCCCUAAAGAGUCAGUGACAGCGAACCAGACCACACAGCUGCCCCAACAGCCAGCAGAGCCAGCAGCAUGGCUACCUGCAUCCUAUCUGAAUGAGCUAUCUCCA